rnacentral:rRNA from 1 species
UGUCGAUGAAGAGCGCAGCCAACUGUGUGAAUUAAUGUGAACUGCAUGCUGCUUUGAACAUCGACAUCUUGAACGCAUAUUGCGGCUACAGGCUAGCUUGUAGCCACGCCUGUCCGAGGGUCG